UCAUUAUAUGAAAGUUAUAAAAAUAUAUAAUAAAUAUAGAAUCUAAAAUACCUUUAAUUUGAUGUUCUGAUGUUGCUGAGUUACACAAAGGCUUUUCAAAUCAUGUCAAAGUGCUUCAUUUCUAUUUUAGUUAUAACGCAACGAAACAUCGUUAAAAACGUGACACUAUUCUAACUAUGAAUACUUUUUUAUUAAACAAUUUGUUUAUCACUUGAUUCGCGUUUAAGUUGUAAUUAUGGACACAAUUAAAAUGUAAUUUAACGAAAAUUACGACGAUGGACUCGACUGUUAUAACCGGAAAUACAAUUUUGGCGGUUAAUAAAUGAACAUCUAGUGGCGCCACCUAUUGACAUUUAAAAUUCAAAAUUUAAUAUUUCGAAUUUGAAAGAGACUGUAAUAUUGUAGUUGACGAUUGGAAUGUACAUAUUUUGUUUUUAAAACUUUUUACGAAUUUUUCUUAUAAUAAGAUUUUUAAUAACAAAACUCAUCAUUUUUCAUAAUAGAGUUCAGGUCCUGAAUCAACCAAUGGUAGCGCUGUUAGCGAAAUAUGACAUUUCCGAGUAAACUAUUGGACACAUUUUAUAAAAAUGAAAGCAAUAUUCAAACGUUUUUCAUGAUAAUUCUGUUAAUCAGAUGUAUCUUUAACUGUCCUGUGAAAUAGGAUAAGAUGAUUAUUCAGGACUAUUGAGGAUUUUAAGAAAAUGUUACUAAUCGCAAAAUGUUGGUUAUAGAAUCUUUAGAGGAUGUAUCCAGAUUCAUAUCAUUUUCAUAGUCUGGGUUAUCACACUUGACAUUGUUACACUGUGCAGUGUUAUACUUAACACUGCCGCGUUUAACAAAGUUUGAAGCUUCUGGACGAGAGCCAUGUCUAUUAAGAAAACAUUUCUAACAUUCCGCUAACAUUGCAGUUAACCUCGUCAGGAGAUUAAAAGACGAACUACUAUAACACUGUACUCUGUAAACAUGUUAAAUAUGAUAUAACAUGUACAAUAUAAAAGAAGUUAUCUUCAGAAUUUCUUUAACUAAUUUAGGUAAAAUGGUAGUGUAUGAUCCAUUCAAUCGAUUAUUCACUCACGUGCGUUUUAUUUUUUCAAUCGAUCUCGAUAAAAGUAAGCGGCAAAGUGAUUUCCAGCAGAGUUUCCGCGGGGAUGCCGCUGGUGUAAUUUGUCAAGCGUGGCCGAAGGAAAGAGCGACGGCUUCGAGCGAGGAAAUUUAUGGGUCGCAACGUGUCGACGGAAACCUUAAAUUUUAACGUCCCUGUCGCGUACUCGGCCGGGUCCUGCCCUGCCUGUUAAGGACCUUGUGAAGGGGGAUUACGACUUGACUGCUACGAAGCGAGCGUGGAACACCGAGGGGUGGUCUCUCCUCUCUCUUCGCGGUGGGGCAGAAUCAGAGAAGUAUGGUGGUGGUUCUGUGGCAGGGAAGGGGGUGGCGUUGCGACGGUGCCACAGGAAAAGGUGUAGGGAAGAGGGUGGGUUAUGGGGUAUAACGCGACGAAGAACAUCCGAAUAAAAUAAUAAUAAACCGCGGAUACGUUUCAGCGCGCGUCGCUCCUUCUUCCGUCCUGAUGCUUCGCCUGUCUCUCUUUCUGCCUCGGUCUUUCCUGUUUCUGCGUCGCCUGAAAUAAAUGAGUCGGGUCUAACCGCUUGAAUCGAACGAGCAUAAUGAGUACAGACGGAUCGUCAGAGGUGUAUGGCGAUGAUGUAUUACGUCUAAAAUUGAGUCCUUAUAUUCUGUUUAAUAUUGGGGACAAAAAGAACAUUCAUUUAUUUAAUAUAGUGAUACAUUAGAAGUUUACGAGUAUUUAAUGUGAUCGAUUAUUUUUCUAUGAAUUGUCAGUUUUUGUUAGGUUGCUUAUCGAAAUCUUCUUUGUAUUAAUAUGCCGCCAUCAUCGUUUAUUUGUAAAAAGAUGAUUAAGUUAAUUUAUACGAAACUGAAUAAUUCAUUCAUUUCGUCUGGCUGUUUUGUAAAUGCAAGACCACCGAGGCUGCCGCCGGUAGACUGACUACAUGCGAGUGAAACGCGACAUUUUAAGGCUUGCGUGACACGGAUCGAUAUAAUUUUCUGCAGUUUAGAUCGUUGCGAGAAGAGGUGGAUUCCAGGUACUUGGAAAAAGAAGGUUAACAACACCACGAAACAGCAAUGUUCACCAUGGAGCAAUUUGCAAAUGAAAAAAAAGGACGAUAUUGCGAGAGGCUCAAAACACAUACAAUCAGCUUACUAGCUUAUCUUAAAUGUAAUUCAUUAGGGUUUACUUCUGUAUAAGUCGAUUACAAAUGAUACCGAUUUAUCAGUUAAAAGAUAGUCGGAGAAGAGAUGUCGUCAAACCGGAAGAAUCUUUUCUCUUUAUAUACUAAUUUUAAUCUCGUUUCAACAAGGGAAUACUGAAUGUGUUGAGGAAUACACUAACAUGCUGUUGGAACAAGAAAUGACAUGUAUUGGAAGUCAGAAGAAUACUUGAGUUAAGUUAAGUAAUUUCCUUCUUAAUUCGCUAAAUUCAAUUAUGAACUAUUUUUAACGGAUCUACAUUUGAAAAGGUUAUUAGAGGCAUGAUAAACAGUAGAAUAUAUCAUUUAUAUUGACAAACGAAAAAUUAUAGAUACAUAUGUCUAUGGAGAAAUACCGAGUGCAAGACGAAGACAAACUUUUAUCUAUUAAAAAAUUUAAGUCUCAUCACUAUUUAUAAAUCUAUAAAAUUACGAAUUUUUUGAUGAUAAAAGAAUGUGAUUGGAUCAUAAAUGACUCAAAGGACGUAGCAGGGCUAAUACAGAAAGCCAUCCACGAACGUUUCAUCGAGUAACGGAGCCGGAGCGAUCGACCUCACAGUUCGAACGACUUGGUAUUCCUCGUGGUCGAAUCGUCGUGAGUCAUAGCGAUCACUCGGCGGAUUCGCAGAUCAUAUAUUUAUCGCGGCUGUACGAAAAGCCCGCUGAGAUGUUUCUUCUCAGGGACAAAUCAAUGGGGCUGGCGAGCCGGCGGUGGCCGUUUGAUGUCAAGAAAGAGCUCGACCCGCUCGGAUUCAGCUAUCUCGACGUCGUCGCCGACGGCGGCAUCCUACUGCGAUAACGCCAUUAUGCGAAUUCGCGAUUUGCAUAUUUCAGAAAGCGCUGCACAGGAAAGCAUAAACAACUCCGGCCGCUCCGCGCAACGAGAGCGCCGUGGCUUCCUCGUCAGAAGAGUUACACGCAUGGAAGAUUUACGGAGAAUCCAACGGUUUCCCUUUUCCCUUCCUUCUAUCCUUUUUCCUCCUUCUUCCGACUCGUCGUUUUCUUCGCUGUCUCACUUCUUCUUUUCUUUUUUUUUUUAGGGAACCUCCUCUCGCACUUUGUAUUCAGGCAUAAAUGCAUGGCGACGCGAAAUGGGAAUUGGCUGAAUACCUCCAGACGAUCAUCUCGGGGACGGAGGAGGAAAAAACCGGUCCAACAGUUUUGCUAGACUGCAGCUCGCGGUUUUCGGGCCGAAUCCCGCGACCGAGGCUAAUCCUUGGAAGACCAUCUUUCGGCAUGCUGACUGAUGUGUCUCUCGAAAUAGACGGAAGAUCGUUUGUAUAUACACGAUUUUGUUAUUCAGCACGGUGUACCUUACUUCAGCAACUUUGCUGUUCGCAGUGUAUGGAGAAUACAGAAUGUCUUCUCUUUUCCUACCUUUUAUGUACCGUUUUAGAGUAAAUACAUCUAGGAGUAUAUAGCAUAAUAGAGUUAUUUGAGUCACCUGGGCUUCAACAUCCUGAAAAUAUAUGGCUAUAGAGUUGUCAAUGUAUAUAAUAUACUUCACUGUUUUAUCAAACCAUUAAUUAGAAGUUAAAUAUGUAAUCUAUUUUCUAGUUUAAAAAUUGUUCAUAACCGAUUUUACUGAAUUACAUAGCGGAUUAUUUAGUUCGACUCAAACAUCCUUCCGAGUCAAAUAGCCCUGUCUAAAUGGUUCUAGCCAUUAAUUUGGAGAAAUUUAGAUCUUAAUUUAAUUAUGGAAGAUAAAUUCCAAUUCUUCACAAGAUAUAUACAAUUUAUCUUCGUAUUAUUAAUGUCGUAUGCAGAUAAUGGUUUAUCACGGAGAUUCUUCAUUUCCAUCCAGCAGUGCUGACAACCGAGCAGAACGGAGGGCACGAGACCACCAACAGACAAGGAUCGACCGCCGUAGAUCGCCUUUUCCGCGCAUUAUAAUGCUAACGGUUGCUUAUCAGGACAGCAUAAAACGUUUCAGCGCUAGUUUCGCCGCGAUAAGUGGCGGAGCGCGCGAAACCCGCGCGCUCGCUUACAUAAGUAAUAUAAUUGAUUCGUUACAAGCGCUCCUACACGACAGAUAAGUUUAUCUGUGACGCGCAUCAACGGAACCGGUUAGAUAACGAGCGCCGCUACAUCAUAUAAUAAGCUUUAAUUAUUCGGAUAAUGAAGCUCGCCGUUCUCUUCUAAUGACAAAUAACAUCGGCUCAACCAUAAGCCACUGCAGCGAAACCAUCAUGUCGAAACUUCCGGAGGAAAAGUUACGUUGGCUUUCCUCGACGUUUCCUUCGACUCUACGAUGUUACGUCCCUUUUAAUCUGCUACCGUUUGUUUCACUUGUAACUUCAAUCUGCUUCCAGUUUAUACAUCACCCACGACACGAAAAGCUAUCUUAGAGAAAUGUAAUUUAUUUAUGAUAAGUUGAAAAUCAUAGUUGUGUAUGUCAAGAUUUUGAGAAUCUGGAUCUAGUCAUGUAUCUUAACUUUUAAAAGCAUCCAAUGUUUCAUAAUUAAUUAAGUUGCAACUUUAUUCUUUCUCGCGAUACGUUUUCAUGACUUCGAAGAAUAUAAACGACUCUUGAACAACGACUACUAGGAAUGAUAUAAGAACCUCAGAGGUACAGUGGUAACAGUGGUCCAUAAUUUUAAAUUGUACGUCUUCGGUUGCUUUUGUUUUAUCCUGUUCCAGUUUACCAGUUCGAAGAAUCCCGAACAACCUGUUAAACUGAUCGGACAAAACCUGGGAGACGUUGAUCUUGGAUGAAAGAACAAGUCCCUGGUACCAACUUCCAUCUGGUGUCUUAACGAGCAACCAUUUUAAUAAACUCGUCACACCGGUGCACGGGCUAAGAUCGAGAGCCUUUCCAUAUCUCGAAUUUCAAUUUUCACGCGACACUCCGUAAAGUAUCCAGAGGCAAGAAGGAACGCGGCAGUAAGGAAUCGCUGAGAAAGAUCUCGACGAAGGAAAAAACGCGUUUGCCGUCAAAUACCAGCGAUCAGGCGGAAAGAAAGGAGGCUGGAUGAUGUACCGGUAGAUCCACGUUCCACGCCGGAUAUUUACGUGUAGCCCGAUGGCCGAACUCCUGUCGAACAUCGGGUUUUACAGCGUCGAGCAACGGCGUAUCGUUGGCCAUCAUCGAGGACCAAGGAUCCGGCGACUGGUUACACACAAGUAGAUGGAUGAAGGUGGCUGGAACAAGGUGGCGGUUGAUGGGUGUAAAUUCAAGAUACGAUCUUCUCCCUUCUGUGUCCCUUUCCAAGUGGAUUUACCGACUGCUGCGCGUUCUGUCCGCUUUACUCGGUUUUUAAUUAUCUCCGGGGUCCCUGAGACAAAGGCGUCGCCGCCGUCGUCAGCCAGGUAAACGUUUCUCUGUCUUACCUCCUUUGGCCGACGAGGACCGGGGAUGUCUGACGAACCUUCUGGAACUGGGACGUGACGUAUCGGCGCUGGAAAGCUGAAGAAUCCUGGCAAUGAAUCGAUUGUAUAUGUAAAUGGGCUUUUGAAUUGUUUGGAGGAAGUUCAGAAACGAAAAAUCGAGGAAGAUAAUUCUUACAUGGAUAAGAACUAACAGUCGUCUUUUAAAAGAUAUGCCACUGUAGUAUUCGACGAGGAAUUUUAGAAGACGUAUGGAUUAUGGAACGCAAAGAUGAUUUAUCGACUCGUUGGUUCAAACAACGAUAUAAAUUUAAUUGUUAGAUUAGGUACUUGGUUUAUGAUUUAGAUUCCAUCAUGAAAUUGGCGAAUGGUCUUCAUAGAGUUGCGCUAGGCCGCUAAUAAAAGAUGUCCCCGUCUGGUCGCAUUAUCAUUUUAAUUGCUUCGUUUUGUGCUGAACCUUUUUGCCAGAUCCUUAUCUCCGCGUCGGGACAAAUUAGCACCCCGACUGUGUGUUCGGUUGAAACCUGUUCGCUGGAAUCUGCAAAUUACCUUUUCUGCCGCCUCGAUAUAAAGGACGCCGGACAUUCGGAAUGGCGCGAGCGCGCCUUUUACGCCAGCGAUCUUGCGCCGAGUGUUGCAAGUACAAAUGAGCGAAUUUACGUCCCGAAGAGCUACGACUCUCACUUUCGAUGCAUGUUAAGGAAGAGUAGCACCGUGUUUUGCAAUUAGAAGCGUUAACCGUAUGCUACUAGACCUUUGCAGGUUCUAUUGGCGAAGAAAUUCCUCUCGAAGGUAACCAUAGCCUAUAGUUACUGGGAAAAGUUUUGCAAUUGAAAGUUUCGAAUGUUACGGAGCUUUUAUAAUAGAAUCCAUAGUAAAGUAGAAUCUUCUUUACAGAGAAUCGUCUGUAAGAAUGGCCAUGAUUUCAUCACUAACAACGAGCAGCCUAUUAGCGUUGAUAAGAAAAAUUCCUGAGCACUAACUCACAAAGGUAUCCUAACACUUGUAGAAAUAUUUUAUGAAUACAUUAUGCACGUUAUAUAAAGUACGGACUAUUAAAGGGAAGUAAACUUUUAGCUGCAGCAUUAACUUACUUUCCGGGACGAUUGUAUACAGCACUAAUGAAAUUUCAAAACAUUUUGUAUAAGACAUACAGUAUAUACAUGAACGUUUACUAAGGUAAGUGUUUAAAUACUUUUUUGAGCCACUGUACAUCGAAGACCUCGAUUACAAUUUCCAUAGCUUUUUUUAUUCGUUCUUUGACAAUCAAGCAACGUUCAAGACGGAGAAUCUGCAGAUUGACUUUUUCGCUGCUCCCGGGACCGAAAGCGCGGCGGAAGUGAUGAAUGGCGAGGGCAGGUCUUUUGAGAGCGGUGAUCUUUUCGGCUAAGAGGGGUACACGAAGGACACAAAGGGCCGCUAUCCGCACCAUCAGUGUCCGAUACCAGGCUCAGGUGACGCACUUUCCAAAGAGGUACCCAUGCUGCCAGUACCUUUAUUAAAGCGAAGACAAGACUCCGGGCGCUGACACAGAGCCGACCGAUGACAGAAAAUAUUUACAACGUCAUCUUGCCUAGACUGGGCGUUUUCCUGGUCAUCUUCGACGGCGCCAGCCUCUCCCUUCCAUGACCAUUACGACCGUCGCUUGUUCUCUCCUCAAUUAUUAUAGGUACACAUUGGAACAACAGCUUUAUGACAAUCGAGCGCGAUUCAGUAAAUCUGAGGGACUUAGGAUCGUUGAUCGUAAGUCUAGUUUAGCAGGAUUACACUAAAGGAUGUUGCUAUGCUAGAGAGAGUCCAUUUACCGGGAACUAGGAAAAUCCUUUGUGGUAACGAUAAGCUUAUUGCGACAAUUUCUGUUGUAGAUGAUGAUCAUUCUGGCAUAGGACAAGUUUGAAGAGAUUAUUUACCAAUUAUCGGUCCCUGUAAAUCCUGUUUUUCACGCGGUCAAGUCUCUCUUCUGUGAAUGAAUGGUUUAUCUCGAUGAAAGAUAAUCUUCGUAAAGAAAGGCAUAGAGUGGAGCAUAGUUGAGUAUAGUUGGAGAUCUAAGAACCGUCUAAUAUUCAUUGAACGACACUAUUGCGAUCGAGGUUGAACUCGAUGAAUUCUAAGAAGUUUCAACAUCGAAGGAGAAGAGGGGGGUCUGAUUCCCUGACAGUGGUUAAUUACGACGUUCGCUCGUUAAUUCGCCGAAGUCGAUUCGCGAUAGCGACGGGCAAAGAAAAGUGGGAGACGACAAACAACUCCUACGAGGAAUAACUUCUCAUUUCCUACUUACUGUCAAUUAUUUGGUUAGAGAGCCAAUUAACUCGGCUCUCCUCGCGAGUCGUAGUCGAGCGACGACGGCGCUCGAUCAACGAAUCGAAGAACGUCUCCUAUUCUGCUUACGACUUAAUUAAUGCGAGCCUCGUCGUUUCAUUGUUCUCGAUAUUUGCAUGGAACCCCCGGCCCCUGUUACUAAAUUAUACGCUGUAUCUGCUCAACCAUGCCGAUGCAUACCGUACGUGCAAUUUUCUAUUGUUCGAAAUGACGCAGCGUUAGAUGCGUUUAUUAAAAUCUCGUCUGCUCGAGCUUUCAACUGUGGGCUCGAUUUCUGAAGUGUCCUUUGCCUUUUCAACUUCUCUCAUGUUUCCCAAUUUUUAACUGUGUCUGUCUAAUGUGAGGAUAUUAAAGCGAUUGAGAUAUAUGUCUCUAGUCACGUUCUAAAAGUUCGUAUAGAUUCUAUAAAAUGUUAACUAUUCGUUAGGGAUAAAUAUGGAACUUUAUUAACGCAGGUACAUUUUUUAUUUUAACUUAAAUUUAAAUUGCAGAGAAUUUCAGCCCAGUUACAAAAAAAGAUAAGGGUAAGGUAAAGAGGCAAGACAAAAGA